rnacentral:tRNA from 1 species
GGACAGGUGCUCGAGUGGUUGAAGAGGCGCGCCUGGAGAGCGCGUAGGCGGUUCUCCGUCUCGUGGGUUCGAAUCCCACCCUGUCCG